GAUUCACCCUGGGUGGGUAACUGACUCAGAAGACGUUAUCAGAGCUCUUCUCCAAGACUUAUUCAACAGGAACCAGUGAAGAAGAUCAAUGUCUCUGACAAAAAAACUAUGUGUUGUAAGGCUCGGGGCUCCUCUCUGCCCAUUUUUCCCGCUGAAAGAGGGAAGCUGAUAUAAGAGUGCUGCUGUUCAGAAGUCUGAGCUGGAUGUGUAGUUGGUCAUCGUCAGCAUACAGAGGAUAACUGAAGCCACGUGUGGGAGGGAAGAUCACCAACUGGGACACAGAUGCUGAAAAGAAGGCAGCCAAGAAUGAACUCUGAGAAAAGCCAACAUUUAAGGAGUGGAUACGAGAAGAGGCAUUGUGAGCUAGACUGAAAAGGAAUGGCCAGAGUUUUGCAAAUGUAAUCAGAAGUGCAUCAUGAAAACCAACAAAGGGAGCAGUUUCAACAAAUAGGGAUGAUCAGCAACAACCUAAAAUAUUACAGAGAGAUCUAGCAAUACAAGUAUUUCAAAUUGUUCUUCAGAUGUAACAAUAUAUCCAAGUUACUGCACUUUCUUUAACCUUCUAAGAAAGAUGGCAUGUCGCAAGUUUCUUCGCACCGUGAUCUCGCUGACUUCAGGAGUGAACCUGCAGACCUUCGCA